UGGCCAGGCCGGGCCCCUCUGGCAGCGCAAUGCGCUGCGAUGUCGGACUGGAGGA
rfam:Caulobacteraceae bacterium OTSz_A_272, complete genome.